rnacentral:rRNA from 1 species
CCAAUAGCGUAUAUUAAAGUUGUUGCAGUUAAAAAGCUCGUAGUUGAAUUUUAGGCCUGGCCAGGCGGUCCGUCUUUGGCGAGUACUGUCUUGUUGUCGGGUCUUCCUUCUGGUGAACCAGUAUGUCCUUUAUUGGGUGUGUUGGGGAGCCAGGACCAUUACCUUGAACAAAUUAGAGUGUUUAAAGCGGGCUAUUGCUUGAAUAGAUUAGCAUGGAAUAAUAGAAUAGGACGUUGUGGUUCUAUUUUGUUGGUUUCUAGGACCACCGUAAUGAUUAAUAGGGAUAGUUGGGGGCAUUAGUAUUCAAUUGUCAGAGGUGAAAUUCUUGGAUUUAUUGAAGACUAACUAUUGCGAAAGCAUUUGCCAAGGAUGUUUUCAUUAAUCAAGAACGAAAGUUAGGGGAUCGAAGACGAUCAGAUACCGUCGUAGUCUUAACCAUAAACUAUGCCGACUAGGAAUCGGGCGACGUUAUUUUAAUGACUCGCUCGGCGCCUUAUG